rnacentral:lncRNA from 1 species
UACAUACAUACAUAUAUAUAUAUAUGUAUAUGUAUAUAUAUAUUACUUAUUUGCUUUAUAUAUAUAUAUAUGUAUAUAUAUAUACUCCAGUAGCAUAGCCAGAGUGUGUGCCACCCUGGGGUGACCCUUUAGUUUGUGCCCCCCCAUGCAUAUUGCUUACUGCAAGCCCAAAAGUGGUGCCACCUAGGGUAAACGUCCCCUCCAUCCCAUGUAGCUACGCUAGUGAUAUUCCACAUAAUUGUUACAUUAUAUACAUCAGCAGAUUUGGUUUCCAACUAAAUUUGGCUCUCUAGGCAUUGGCCAAUUCAAAGUUAUGAUAGAAUGCACUUGCCCAAGGUGUUGUAUUGUGAUGCAUAUCGUUGAGCUUCUUUUCUCAACAACCAUUUCUGUGCGUAUACCCAUCUUGUAACAUAGUAACUUUAUGUACUACAUUAAGUAGCUUUGGAUUAGCUUUGGAUGUUAAAGUUACAAUGUUACAUCUAAAUUCAUUUUGAAUUAAAAUUGAAUAACGACAACAAAAAAAAGUAUAGCAUUGAAAUAUUUUAAUGUUAUACUUUUUUUUCCUUUCCAUUUUUGUUAUUUCAUCAUGUCAUUCUGAGCAACCUCCAUUAAAAGCCGGUUUUCCUUUCCUUUCCUCAUCAAGCCAAUCCUAUCUUUUUGAGUUUCAUUUUUUCCACACCUCUUUAAUACUGUUAAUACUGGGAUUGGCAGAAUUGUUAAAGAGUUGGACGAAAUGCUUUGUGGUGUUUAUGUUAAGGCUCUUUACAUUCUGAGUUCAUAUCCUAUUGAGGUCGACAUUGUCUUUCAUUCUUCAGGUUUCAGUAAAAAUAUGUACCAAUCAAGUAUUGAGAUCAAUUUAUAAUCAGCUCUAUCCUCCCUUGAGAUUUCUGGUCUUGUGUCAGCAAAAACCUAUAUUUCACAACAUACUGCCAGAAAUACUUCGUUUUGAGAUUCUAGAAAAUUAAAUGAAAAAGAAAAUGAUGUAUUUUCCUUCUAUACACUCAAGUUAUACCAUAAUCUUUUGCACUGAGAUAUUAAAAUGACCUGUUUGCUGUAUUCUAACAUUGUUGCAAUUAAUUUUCACCUGAUUAGAGAACACAUUCUGUGAAUUUGACAAUUCUGAUGUAGAUUUUUUUCCUUUACCAAAGUCCGAAUACAACUGAAAACGUACCGAAAAGUUCAUUUUAAAAUCAAGAAUUUUUGUGAAAUACAAAACUUUUUUUUUAAACAUUAUAAUUAACAAUGUUUUUAUUUUUGGAGGGGGUAAAAAAAAAGGCCUUUUUUUUUUAAAAAAAGUAUUUGAAAUAUUUUUUAUUGUUGGAUUGUAUAUUUUUAUUACUUUCCUUUUUUUUAUGGUCAGAAUACAUUUUUUACUGGUGUACUUCAAAUUAUUAUUAUGUCCUGUUUAAUAUUUAAUUAAAUGCGCAUUUAAUUAUUUUUAUUUUAUUUUUUGAAAAAUUUAACAUUGUAUUAUUUAUUUAUUUAUUUAUUCUAUUUUGUAUUGAACUUUUUUUCUUGAAAUGCAACAUUUUUCGGUUUUCAUCAUCAAAUUAUCUACAUCAUUUCUGACAAAAAAAUAAAAAAAAGAAAUUGUCAGUGUUUUUGAAUGUUUGAGACAUUACAAAAUACAGCUGUGGGG